rnacentral:lncRNA from 1 species
GGGGGUCCGAAUUCCCACCUUCGGUUCCUUCAGCAUCGUCUCCGAACGGAUUGAGGCUGAGGAUGGAGCCAUGACUCUGCAGUGGCCUGCGUUUUGCCUGGCCAGGAACCUUGCGGGCAUCCACAACCUGAUGGAGAGCUACCCACCAGGCCAUAAGGAGGUGCAGCCCCUCAAGUACACUGAGGUGGCCGCGGCCGCAUCUGUGACCUGGCAGACUGGGAAGGCCUGCAUAUUUGGCACCACGUCCCUCGUUUCCCACUGCCUGAGGAAGGGGGAGAACAUUGCCUUUGUCCUGAAGGACAUAGGAGUGCUCCUCAUCGAGGGAACGAGAGUUCAGAUGAAGUUCUACUACGACUUCCUCGAGAGGAUCAGCGGGAAAGAGAACCUAGAGAAAGUUGUUUUCAAGGUGCCCCGGCUGCGGGACAUGGUGGUGUCCCGGGUGGCAGCUGUAGCCUCCCUGACGUCCUGUGGCCGAGUCAUCGUCUUUCCCAGGUUUCGACGGGAGUUUGUACCCAAACCACCACCCAGGACAGCCCGCAAGGCCUGCCAUGUCCCAUUGCCACCUCUUGACCAGGGCAAGAAAGAGGAACUUCCUGAAUUGCCACCCCUCCCCAGCUGGAUCCGCGUUACCUUUGUAGUGAAAAAACAGCCUGAGAAGGAAACAAGCGAUGUCAAGAAGGCGGCCAGUCAGCUGCCAGCGGUCCCGGGGGCGUCUUCUGCCAAAAAGCAGCCUCAGAAAAAAAAGAAGGGAAAAUGCUCUACCAAAAGCAAGGCGGCAGAGAUGGCUCCAGCAGAGGCAGCGCAACCUCCAAGUGGCAAAGAAGAAGAACACGGCGCGGUGAAAGCCCCCGCUGGAGGAGGAGUGCCGCAAAAGGCACAGGCCAAGCUCAGAAAGCACCGUGGAGCCCCAGCCCUGCAACAAACACCACUGGCAGCCCUAUGGUCCUCGAGCUCUGAGACCAGCCUGCCCGAGGAGCGCACCUACAGCGCCUCUGCUGCGGUGCCACUGAUGCACAGGAGGACCAGAUCUCUGCAGAGUCAGCCACCAAAGACCAAAGCGGGGCUCCCCAGGCGGGGGAUGUCCUGUCCACGCUGACCAGGGCAUGGGGUGCCCAGGAGAAGCAGAGCUCCACCUGAGGCUGCCAAACAGCUCUUUGCCUUUGGAAAAGAGUGCUGAGGAGUGUUUACUUGAGGAAGGUGUGGGCUGUGACCAAAAACUCCAGCUUGGUAUAGGAGAACUGAGGGAACAACGCCAUCGUAUCCUGCGAAAAACAGGAUGCAGGUGGGCACCUCCCUGCUCCCUCCUAUCUGCUGGCAAGGCGCGGGAGAUGGGGACAAAGGAGUUUCUGCUGAGAUCCCAAAGCCACAAGCCGCCACUCCAAAGAGAGCUGACCGUUGUCGUCAACUGAACAACGACCCCUGAUGACCCAUCACUACUGUAGAUCGACGUCUGAGCUACGAACCACGCUGGACCUGUGGUGGUGACUGUCUCUCUCUUGCUUCCUACAAAGACGGCUUGCUUUUAUUUGCUAUAUUUUCUAUCGCCCGUCUUCCCUUCCCCAUCUCCCUAAACAACUUGGGUUUGUAAUAAAGCGGACGGGCUAACAUUUAACCCGUGGUGUCUUAAGCUCUCUGUCAGGUGUACAUAGAAUAAAAGAACCUCCUCUCGCUCUGAUAAUGGGAGCGAGACAGUGCCGUCUCUUUGAAGAAAAGCAGAGGUAGAGGGACAAUGGAGACUCUUCCUUCCAAGACCCCUUGGCUCUGACAGACAAGGUGGCUACACUCCUUGGAGCCUUGGGAUCUCGAGCUCCUCAUUUUCCAGUGUCACGCUCUCUUCUGGUGGCACGCAGAGCACACCAAAGCCCACGAAUAGGCAGCGUUUGAAAGGCAUAGCUAUGCGUGAGGCCCAAGAGUUUCCUUCCAACUCGCUGCUCCUUUAGAUCCCUGGUGGGAAGAGAAGGGCUUUCUGGGAGGCGCUGGCAUAGCUUAGGAGCAAAACACUGCAGCUGGGCAACUAGUAGGGAAGGGAGAAAGAGAGGCAGAGAGAUGGCUGCCCCCCCUUGGCCGGAGAGCCGUGUGUGGGAAAGGCUGUGUCACAGCCACGGAUCCUGGCUCAGGGCUGCAACACGUGCCUCUUCUGAGCACUGCUGUCGUGAGCAUUGUUCCAAGAACAACGUGGGGUUACCAGGAACAUUUCAGAAGCAAGGAG